GACCAGCGGAGGGAUCAUUACCGAGUUUACAAGUCCCAAACCCCUGUGAACAUACCUAUACGUUGCCUCGGCGGAUCAGCCCGCGCCCCGUAAAACGGGACGGCCCGCCCGAGGACCCCUAAACUCUGUUUUUAGUGGAACUUCUGAGUAAAACAAACAAAUAAAUCAAAACUUUCAACAACGGAUCUCUUGGUUCUGGCAUCGAUGAAGAACGCAGCAAAAUGCGAUAAGUAAUGUGAAUUGCAGAAUUCAGUGAAUCAUCGAAUCUUUGAACGCACAUUGCGCCCGCCAGUAUUCUGGCGGGCAUGCCUGUUCGAGCGUCAUUUCAACCCUCAAGCUCAGCUUGGUGUUGGGACUCGCGGUAACCCGCGUUCCCCAAAUCGAUUGGCGGUCACGUCGAGCUUCCAUAGCGUAGUAAUCAUACACCUCGUUACUGGUAAUCGUCGCGGCCACGCCGUUAAACCCCAACUUCUGAAUGUUGACCUCGGAUCAGGUAGGAAUACCCGCUGAACUUAAGCAUAUCAAUAAGCGGAGGA
rnacentral:rRNA from 1 species